ensembl:snRNA U6 U6 spliceosomal RNA
GUGCUCGCUUCGGUAGCACGCAUACCACAGUUUGAAUGAUACAGAAGAUGUUAGCAUGGCCUCUGUGCCAGGAUGACACGCAAAUUCGUGAAGUGCUCCAUAUUAAC